GACGAACCGAGCGAACGUUGUUCGGAAUCACUGGGCUUAAAGGGCGCGUAGGCGGGCUGCCAAGUCUGGGGUGAAAUCCCGCGGCUCAACCGCGGAACUGCCUCAGAUACUGGCGGCCUCGAGGGAGAUAGGGGCGAGCGGAACUAAUGGUGGAGCGGUGAAAUGCGUUGAUAUCAUUAGGAACUCCGGUGGCGAAGGCGGCUCGCUGGAUCUCUUCUGACGCUGAGGCGCGAAAGCUAGGGGAGCAAACGGG
rnacentral:rRNA from 1 species